rfam:Candidatus Firestonebacteria bacterium GWA2_43_8 gwa2_scaffold_46023, whole genome shotgun sequence.
GGUACCGGCGCGAAUAGCCGCUUUCGCUUAGGCGGAAGAGGAAAGUCCGAACUCCAGAAGGCCAAGAUGCCGCGUAACUCGCGGGCUCUGCAUUGUAAUGGUGCAGGGACGGAAAGUGCCACAGAAAAUAUACCUCCGUGCCGCAAGGUACGGAAAGGGUGAAAAGGCGGGGUAAGAGCCCACCGGCCGCCAAGUAAUUGGCGAGCGCAUGGCAAACCCCAUCCGGAGCAAGGCCAAAUAGGGGGAAGUCAACAAAGUGGUGCCGCUUGUUUCCCCGGGUAGGCCGCAAGAGGUAUUGGGUGACCAAUAUCCUUAGAGAAAUGGCUAUAAGAACAGAAUUCGGCUUACGGCCCGGAACCAAAU